AUGAAUAAUGCGCCCGAUCACCCCUUUCAACAAGGGGGUAAUCCAGAGCAGGGGUGUUCCAGCAAUUCAUCACAGCCGCAUAUAAUUGUCAGAAAUAAAUUUAAUAACGUUCAAAUUAGAGAAAUUUUGAAUUUCCCUCCUCCAAACGAUAUACCUGAUUACGCCCGAUAUUAUGAAGGUAUAAUGGCCGGGGCCCGUGAAAUUUCAGACAGGAUUUUCUCACAUGCACGUCCAGGUGAUCUUAUACAAUUAGAGUUGAUAGGGCCUCAGUUGCAGAAUAAUGUUUCAGUCAUUUUAAGGGACAAUUGUGAUUUAAGUGAAUUUGAAAAUCUGUUCCUGAGAACCGUUCAGUCAAAUUGGUCCGUUAUGUGUGAAGGCUCGCUCGAGCUUGUAGCUCAGAUCGUUAGACCCCCAUCCGGUAGUGGAAAAAGGAUGCUUAAACACAUACUUGACAAUGAAAUUGUCAGAAAGAAAAGGCGCUUUUUAUAUAUUGUUCAUAACCCCGCAAAUAAGUUAUGUUUUGCUAUAAGCCUUGCCCACCUUCUGCACCCUGAUUUUAACGAUCAACAAGCAGAGGUUUUCGGUAGAGAAAUUCAGCAAAAAGCUGGUCUAAAUGAUCAAACGCCUGUCGGCUUUAAUCAGAUUAUUACAUUUGAAAGGUUACUCGGAUGUAAAAUUAUAGUAUUUUACCGCAACGAAAACGAUCGCAGCCUUUGUAAAUUUCAAACUAGUACACCCAAUACAGAAAAAACCCUUUGUUUAUUUUUAUUUGAGAAUCAUUACUAUGCUAUCAAAAAUCUAAAAGGGUUUAUGGGUACAUCCUAUCUCUGUAAUCAUUGUUAUAUCGGGUACAACCAUGUGUUAUCACACUUCUGUCCUGCUCGCUGUUCAGUCUGUAUGAAGCCAGACUGUAGCCAAUAUUCCAUCUCUCCUGUUGUAUGUAGCGACUGUAAUCGCACCUGCCGUUCUUCCUAUUGUUUCGAGAGCCAUAAAAAACUCCUGCAGAGGCGUGAAAGACUCGCCAGCAACUGUCAGCUCUAUAAAAAAUGUGUCAAGUGUUCCAGACUUUAUUAUUUAGCAGCAAACAAAAAACCUCACAAAUGUCAAAACAGGAAAUGCCCAAUCUGUCACCAGGAAAUCUCCACUGAUCAGCAAACGCAUCAGUGCUACAUGCAGGUUUUAGAACGCGAGACAAAACACAACAACAAGUUGAUUUUUUACGAUUUUGAAACGUUUGUAAAUGAAAGCGGUGAGCACACUCCUUUUCUGGUUUGUACGAAAACUUCAGACGGUAAAUCCUGGAACUGUGUUGGGGAGGACUGUGCAGAAAAGUUUCUCGCUCAUUUUAGACGUCCACUCUUUAAGGGCUGUAUUUUUAUCGCCCAUAAUGCAAAAGGUUUUGACGGGUACCUUAUUUUAUCCCGAAUGGCUAAACAACGCUUAAAACCACAUUUAAUUAUGCAAGGAUCCAAAGUGAUCAGUUUUACAGACUCAGACUAUAAUCAACGAUACAUGGAUUCAAGCUGCUUUCUCCCUAUGCCCCUGUCAGGUAUCCCAAAAGCAAUGGGAUUUUCAGACAGCGUAAAGGGUUUCUUUCCUCACUCUUUCAGUUCCAGAGAAACUCUAAAAUAUGUAGGCCCCUACCCUCCACCCUCAGCUUACAGCAUAGAGAGAAUGACAACAAAAGGCAGGGAUGAUUUUUACAAAUGGUAUGAUUCAGUCAGCUCCGGUACCUUCAAUUUCAUGAAAGAGGCCCUGUUAUACUGCGAAAACGAUGUUGAGAUUCUAGCUGAGGGCUGCAAAUUGUUUAGAAACGGGUUUAUUGAAGAAACAGGAGUAGAUCCUUUCAGCCGCAACACGCUUGCAAGUGCCUGCCUGAAAACUUUUUUAACAAACUUCAUGCCAGCCAAUUCUUUAGCAAUACCAUGUCCCUUAAAUUACUGUAAUCAGGUCAAAUCAUUUUCCUCUGCCUCAAUUCAAUGGCUAGAAUAUCUCUCGUACACGCAAGGUGUUUUUAUCAGACAUGCGCUAAAUCAAGGAGAAAAAAAGCUGGGUAGUUAUUAUUUAGAUGGAUAUGCCCUAAUUAAUAAUAAACCAUAUGUCUGGGAAUUUUUGGGUUGUUACUUUCAUGGGUGUGUUAAGUGUUUUUCAAAUCAGGCCGACAUUAAUCCCUUGUUAGACCUAACUUUUGCAGAGCUAAACAGCCGCACUGAAGAAAAACUGGUUAAAUUGAGAACUGAACAUAACGUGUGUCUUGUUACAAUCUGGGAGCAUGAGUGGACCGAAUUGAAACGUACUGAUGUGAGUGUAAUCAACUUCCUCAAACAUUACGAACCGCCAGAACCUUUGAACCCCCGUCAUGCCCUCUUUGGAGGGCGUACAAGCCCUGCACAGCUGUGCUGCAGUGCAGGCCCUGGGGAGAGAAUCGGUUAUGUGGAUGUUACCUCGCUGUAUCCGUUUGUAAAUAGCACCUGUAGUUACCCCUUAGGACAUCCUCAAAUAAUCUUUCCAAAUUUUCAGCACCCUAAAAACUACUUUGGGUUUAUCAAAGCGGUUGUAUACCCACCCAGAGCACUCUAUUUUCCAGUUUUACCCUAUAAAACUAAGUCAGGAAAGCUUCUCUUUACCCUCUGCCGCACCUGUGCCGAAAUGAACAACCAACAGGGGGCGUGUAACCAUAGCAACGAGGAGAGAGCCCUCAAAGGGGUUUGGACCACUGUAGAAUUUAAUCUUGCAUUAGAAAAGGGGUAUCAAAUAAGUAGAAUCACCGAGGUGUGGCACUUUGAGAAACAGAGUAACACAAUAUUCACAGACUAUGUACAUCAUUUCCUGCGCAAAAAACAAGAAGCUUCAGGCUACCCAUCAGAUGUUGUAACUGAGGAGGAUAAACAGCUUUACAUUAAAGACUACCAGGCUAAGCAAGGCAUCACUUUAGACCCUGAAAACAUAAAACUAAACCCAGCUAAAUGA
ensembl:lncRNA